UACAGAACUGUUCCACUUAAAACUGGUC
rnacentral:piRNA from 1 species